GAUGAACGCUAGCGGCAGGCCUAAUACAUGCAAGUCGAACGAGAUUACGAGGCUUGCUUCUUAUGAAAGUGGCGCACGGGUGCGUAACGCGUAUGCAACCUACCUUAAUCAGGGGGAUAGCCCGAAGAAAUUCGGAUUAAGACCGCAUAAAAACACAGGAUAGCAUUAUCCAAUGUUCAAAUAUUUAUAGGAUUAAGAUGGGCAUGCGUGUCAUUAGCUAGUUGGCGGGGUAACGGCCCACCAAGGCGACGAUGACUAGGGGAUCUGAGAGGAUGACCCCCCACACGGGUACUGAGACACGGACCAGACUCCUACGGGAGGCAGCAGUAAGGAAUAUUGGUCAAUGGAGGGAACUCUGAACCAGCCAUGCCGCGUGCAGGAAGACAGCCCUCUGGGUCGUAAACUGCUUUUAUUCGGGAAUAAACCUUUCUACGUGUAGGAAGCUGAAUGUACCGAAGGAAUAAGGAUCGGCUAACUCCGUG
rnacentral:rRNA from 1 species